rnacentral:rRNA from 1 species
AUUGAACGCUGGCGGCAGGCCUAACACAUGCAAGUCGAACGAGUGGCGGACGGGUGAGUAAUGUCUGGGAAACUGCCUGAUGGCGGGGGAUAACUACUGGAAAAGGUAGCUAAUACCGCAUACCAUCGGAUGUGCCCCGAUGGGAUUAGCUAGUAGGUGGGGGAAAGGCUCACCUAGGCGACGAACCCUAGCUGGUCUGAGAGGAUGAUCAGCCACACUGGGACUGAGACACGGCCCAGAUUCCGAGGGGAGGCAGCAGUGGGGAAUAUUGCACAAUGGGCGCAAGCCUGAUGCAGCCAUGCCGCGUGUAUGAAGAGGGCCCUAGGGUUGUAAAGUACUUUCAGUCGGGAGGCGUUACCGACAGAAGAAGCACCGGCUAACUCCGUGCCAGCAGCCGCGGUAAUAC